UUCCAUUUAUAGAUUAAACUGUUCUGUUUAUAUGUGCAUAUAUUGAUAGAUCUGUAGAGUUAAAUGUGGAUGUGUAUACUGUUACAGAUGUGAUAUAUUUCCAUUUAUGUAAUUAGAUUUACUGAUUUUCCGAGUUAAAUUUAUAUAUGAGUAGAGUAAGAAAACCAUAUAUAUGAAGUUAUAUUUAUAAAUGCGUACAGUUGCAUAGUAAGAGGAAUAUGAGUGUUUAGAUGUAUAUAUUGAUGGAUAGAUUGCUGUUUGCGUAGGCCUAGGCUGCAUUUUUACCUCUUUGCCCCCUCGGCUGCCUUUCUCACCUCUUGCUUUUCCCCCUGUGCCCCCUGUGUCCCCUCUCCCUGUGCUGGGUCCGAGCUGGUGGCCGGGCCGGCCAGAGCAGCACUUCCAGCCCCGGCUGUCCCUGGAGCGGUGGGAGCUGCCGCUGGCCCCAGGCACUGUCCCCUGAGGAGCUGCUGAAGGACGCUGCAAGGAAGACCUCGAGGACAGCCAGAGACUGACAGGAGCCAGCAGGGAGAAGCUGAAGGCCAGCAGCAAGAGCCCCCUUGGCCAGUGGCCACUGCUGGUGGCCAGCACCCACAAGACAGUGCUCUGAGCCUGAUUAUGAGCUGGGCCCUGCUGGGUAAGAAAUACCAGCUCAUGAGUCCGACCAGAGAGUGUGGCCCAGUUGUGAACAAAGAACAUCUGUCACCGACAUGUUUUAGGAAAAAUCCUUUCCUUAGGAUUUUUCCCUCCUGAGAAGCUGAGAGGCCUCAGGAACAAACUGUAAACAAUUCUUAUCUGCUGCUGUGGAAUGCAACAGGGGGAAUCUGUGAUUGGUCUCAUCUGGUUGUUUGGAAUUAACGCCCAAUCACAGAUCACCUGUCCAGACUGUCUCGGUGAGAGACAAGCCUUUGUUAUUCAUUCCUUUCCUAUUCUUAGCUUAGCCUUCUGAUGAAAUCUUUUCUCUCUGUUCUUUUAGUAUAGUUUUAAUAUAUUUUCUAUCAUAAAAUAAUAAACCUAGCUUGCUGAUA